AAUACUUUUCAAGCUUUGGGUGAAGAUCUGGUGUAGAAUCGGUUUUUAUCAGUUUAAUAUCUGAUAUGCUUCAUCCAAAGAAAAGGUGUUAAAAGGAUUUUUAGAAAUAGGAGAUGAAAUGGGGCUUGCUUCAUCAACUCUGAUGCAUUGUCUUGGUAUUAAAAUACUUUCAGGGAUUACGGACAAAUU
ensembl:snRNA U2 U2 spliceosomal RNA